UACGAAGGGAUCUAGCGUUGUUCGGAUUUACUGGGCGUAAAGGGCGCGUAGGCGGUUAUGUAAGUAAGAUGUGAAAGCCCUGGGCUUAACCCGGGAACUGCAUUUUAAACUGCAUAGCUUGAGUGUUGGAGAGGUAAGUAGAAUUCCCAGUGUAGAGGUGAAAUUCGUAGAUAUUGGGAAGAAUACCAGUGGCGAAGGCGGCUUACUGGACAGCAACUGACGCUGAGGCGCGAAAGCGAGGGGAGCAAACAGG
rnacentral:rRNA from 1 species